CCUGCCCUUAGAAACAUUACAGGCAUGGCUGCUGUCUCACGCAUAUCAGUAGGUGCCCGAGAGGAAGGAAGCUAUGUCUAAACUCAGAGUUCUGUCCCAUGAAUGGCUGAAUAAUUAGUCGCCUAACAUU